rnacentral:rRNA from 1 species
GCUUAACACAUGCAAGUCGAACGAGGAUCAAUUGGAAAGCUUCGGCCGGAAGGGUUGAUUCGAGUGGCGGACGGGUGAGUAACGCGUGAGCAACCUGUCUCAGACAGGGGGAUAACACUUGGAAACAGGUGCUAAUACCGCAUAAGACCACGGGGUCACAUGACCCAGGGGUAAAAGGAGCAAUCCGGUUUGAGGUGGGCUCGCGUCCGAUUAGAUAGUUGGUGAGGUAACGGCCCACCAAGUCGACGAUCGGUAGCCGACCUGAGAGGGUGAUCGGCCACAUUGGAACUGAGAGACGGUCCAAACUCCUACGGGAGGCAGCAGUGGGGAAUAUUGGGCAAUGGGCGAAAGCCCUGACCCAGCAACGCCGCGUGAGUGAAGAAGGCCUUCGGGUUGUAAAGCUCUGUUAUAGGGGACGAAGGAAGUGACGGUACCCUAUAAGGAAGCCCCGGCUAACUACGUGCCAGCAGCUGC